ensembl:lncRNA
AAAACCUCCCUCUGAAGAAGACGUCGGCUGCUUCCCUCCCGUCCGUCCGCACCGCCACCGCUACCGCUACAUACAGCAGCCACAGAGUCCCUCCUCCUUUAUUGGAUACUAGCGGGUCCUCAAAGGCUCCCAGGCUGUAAUUAGAGGGUGGAUCCUCUAAAGCAGAGAAGCGCUCGCUCGCUCGCCCUCGCCUCGCUCUCCGCCCCCCCCCGUCUCUUCCAACCCCAGACCAAGCAACCCGUCCUCUUUUUUCGCUUCUUGUCUCUCUCCUUCCUUCUUCCUCAAAACUCUGCAGCACACAAACCCUCGGGCUGGGACAGCGGCAGCGAUGGCAUCGNCAGUGCCGGAGGAAACCAUCGCCCUGCUGAGGUGACCACCGGUGCCCGGAGAGCGUCCUGGCUAGAAGCACCCUGGAGCUUUUGUCGGACCAGGUGGGAAAGACAAACCUCACGGAAGGAGAGAAAAGUGGAAAGCUCCAGGCUGUUUCGGAGGCCAGAGGUCAAAACACAGGUGUGA